rnacentral:rRNA from 1 species
AUGCUUUUAUCGCAUGGUAGAAGUAUCAAAGCUCCGGCGGUAUAGGAUGGACCCGCGUCUGAUUAGCUAGUUGGUGAGGUAACGGCUCACCAAGGCGACGAUCAGUAGCCGACCUGAGAGGGUGAUCGGCCACAUUGGAACUGAGACACGGUCCAAACUCCUACGGGAGGCAGCAGUGGGGAAUAUUGCACAAGGGGCGAAAGCCUGAUGCAGCAACGCCGCGUGAGCGAAGAAGGCCUUCGGGUCGUAAAGCUC